rnacentral:rRNA from 1 species
UACGAAGGACCCAAGCGUUAUCCGGAUUCAUUGGGCUUAAAGGGUGCGUAGGCGGGCCUAUAAGUCAGUGGUGAAAGCCCUUCGCUUAACGAAGGAAUUGCCAUUGAUACUGUAGGUCUUGAGUACAGUUGAGGUGGGCGGAAUGUGUCAUGUAGCGGUGAAAUGCUUAGAUAUGACACAGAACACCGAUUGCGAAGGCAGCUCGCUAAACUGUAACUGACGCUGAGGCACGAAAGCGUGGGGAGCGAACAGG